rnacentral:rRNA from 1 species
CCUACGGGUGGCAGCAGUGAGGAAUAUUGGUCAAUGGACGAGCGUCUGAACCAGCCAAGUAGCGUGAAGGAUGACUGCCCUAUGGGUUGUAAACUUCUUUUAUAUGGGAAUAAAAUGUUCCACGUGUGGGAUUUUGUAUGUACCAUAUGAAUAAGGAUCGGCUAACUCCGUGCCAGCAGCCGCGGUAAUACGGAGGAUCCGAGCGUUAUCCGGAUUUAUUGGGUUUAAAGGGAGCGUAGGUGGAUUGUUAAGUCAGUUGUGAAAGUUUGCGGCUCAAACGUAAAAUUGCAGUUGAAACUGGCAGUCUUGCGUACAGUAGAGGUGGGCGGAAUUCGUGGUGUAGCGGUGAAAUGCUUAGAUAUCACGAAGAACUCCGAUUGCGAAGGCAGUUCACUGGACUGCAACUGACACUGAGGCUCGAAAGUGUGGGUAUCAAACAGGAUUAGAUACCCUAGUAGUC